rnacentral:lncRNA from 1 species
UUUAUUUUUUACAAAGUUUAGUAGUGGAGAUAAAUAUGGCCAAGGCUCUUAUGAAGUUUGCUUUCUUUGUUGCUUUGUUGCUGAUUACCAUGGGUUUGUGUUCUUUUUUUUAUUCCAGUCCCUUCAUAGCUAUUUUAUUUAAUAUUAGUUUUCAUUUUUAAUUGUAAUAUCUUAGAGCAAAGAGAAAAAAAAUGAUAAUAAUCAUAUGUAAGGGUGGUAUAUAUAAGUAGAUCAUAAAAUAUGAAACCGGUUUAAGUUUUGGCCGAGUCAUUGACCACCUAUUUAUUAACUCAGUCCAUUUUGACCCUGCUCAAAUUUAACCUAUCUAAAAGUUAGGCUGAUUUAGACCCUUGAGAAACCUGAUCAAAAUAUUUAAAUUAUUUUUUAGUUUACACAAAAAAUUCGUUAGUUUUGUUUAGUAAUUAAACAAAUUACAAGAAACAAACAGAAAAAUUAAAAUACAAUAAGAGUUAGGCUGGUCGGGCUAUGCCACAUUAUUUAACUAAUCUUGAUCCAAUUUAUUUUAGUCUAAAUAUUUUUUGGCUGGACAAAUAACUCUUUCAUUAGUUAAUCCAAUGCAUUUUGACGCGUCCAAAUUCAGUCGGACUCGCAUAUUUGACACCCCUAAACUCACAUGUGAUAUAAUGAAUUGCUUAAAAUUUUCUUGUAUAUAAUUGCAGAUGUUUCAUCCUUUAAGGUGGAAGCACUGAGAAAAUGUAAUACUAAACAAGAUUGUCAAGGGGUUUGUUUUUUUGCUCUGAAAACCAGUUGUGUUUUUCACAGAUGCAUAUGCUGGUCCAAGAAAGAGCAAGAAAUGGCUAAAGAAUUAGGCCUGAAUCCCAAAAAUAUUUGACGUCUUUUUAUUGUGCUUGCAUUAAAUUGCACUAAAGUGGAUGUAGACUUGAUCUUGUGUUAUACUACAUGUCCCAAUAAUUAUGCGGUUUGCUACAUGAUAUGCUUUUAAGCAUUCGUAUCACGAAUAUCUGUCUCUGUUUGAUUUAUUAGAGCACUCAUUAAUUUGUGAAUUGAUUAAAUUUAUCUCUCAUUUAUGGGAUAGUUAUAUUUUUUGAUCGCCUCUAAAAAUAAUAGCCGGCAAAUAUAG